rnacentral:rRNA from 1 species
AUACGGAGGGGGCAAGCGUUGUUCGGAUUUAUUGGGCGUAAAGGGCACGCAGGCUGAUUGCUAAGUUAGAUGUAUAAUCGUCAGGCUCAACCUGAUAUCUGCAUCUAAAACUGGCAGUCUAGAGUAUUGGAGAGGAAAGCGGAAUUCUCGGUGUAGCGGUGGAAUGCGUAGAUAUCGAGAGGAACACCAAUGGCGAAGGCAGCUUUCUGGACAAAUACUGACGCUCAGGUGCGAAAGCGUGGGGAGCAAACAGGAUUAGAAACCCCGGUAGUCC